CUUGAGUGCAAAUGAGGUAGGCGGAAUGUGUUGUGUAGCGGUGAAAUGCUUAGAUAUAACACAGAACUCCGAUUGCGAAGGCAGCUUACUGGGAUGCAACUGACACUGAUGCACGAAAGCGUGGGUAUCAAACAGGAUUAGAUACCCUGGUAGUCCACGCAGUAAACGAUGAAUACUAGCUGUAUGCGAUACACCGUAUGUGGCACAGCGAAAGCGUUAAGUAUUCCACCUGGGGAGUACGUUCGCAAGAAUGAAACUCAAAGGAAUUGACGGGGGCCCGCACAAGCGGAGGAACAUGUGGUUUAAUUCGAUGAUACGCGAGGAACCUUACCCGGGCUUGAAAUGCAGACGACCGAAGUGGAAACACUUCUUCCAGCAAUGGCGUCUGUGUAGGUGCUGCAUGGUUGUCGUCAGCUCGUGCCGUGAGGUGUCGGCUUAAGUGCCAUAACGAGCGCAACCCUUGCCAUUAGUUGCUAACAGGUUAAGCUGAGAACUCUAAUGGGACUGCCAUCGUAAGAUGCGAGGAAGGUGGGGAUGACGUCAAAUCAGCACGGCCCUUACGUCCGGGGCGACACACGUGUUACAAUGGGUGGUACAGAGGGUUGCUACCUGGUGACAGGAUGCUAAUCUCUUAAAUCCACUCUCAGUUCGGAUCGAAGUCUGCAACUCGACUUCGUGAAGCUGGAUUCGCUAGUA
rnacentral:rRNA from 1 species